CUGUGUUUAGAGGGAAGGCAGUGUAAUGUUAGCUGGUUGGGAAGUAACAGACACCGGUUAACUUACACCUGCCCCCCUUCUUCACAUUCG
rnacentral:pre_miRNA from 1 species